UACAGAGGGUGCGAGCGUUGUCCGGAAUUACUGGGCGUAAAGGGCGCGUAGGCGGCCUGAUAAGUCGGGGGUGAAAGUCAGCGGCUCAACCGCUGGACUGCCUUCGAGACUGUCGGGCUUGAGCAUGGUAGAGGCUGGCGGAAUUCCCGGUGUAGCGGUGGAAUGCGUAGAGAUCGGGAAGAACAUCGGUGGCGAAGGCGGCAUCCUGGACCAAUACUGACGCUGAGGAGCGAAAGCCAGGGGAGCAAACGGG
rnacentral:rRNA from 1 species